rnacentral:lncRNA from 1 species
ACACAAUAAUAAAUAAGAGAAAUGACUACCACAUUCAACCUUUAAAGAUGAAAACAUGAUUAAUUAAACAUUUUAAUAAAUAAUAGAAAUAGAACUAUUUGAGAAAGAAGGAUCAUUUUGAAAAUUUUUGAAAUUCAAUGUAAGUAUCGAUACUAGGCAAGCAAGUAUCGAUAUUCAUGUGUUAGGUAUCGAUACUAAAGUAAGUAUCGAUGCCAUUCUAGC